GACGAACGCUGGCGGCGUGCUAAUACAGCAAGUAGAACGCACAGGAUGCACCGUAGUUUACUACACGUAUUCUGUGAGUUGCGAACGGGUGAGUAACGCGUAGGUAACUGCCUGGUAGCGGGGGAUAACUAUUGGAAACGAUAGCUAAUACCGCAUAAGACAUUUACGCAUGGUAGAUGUUUAAAAGGUGCAAAUGCAUCACUACCAGAUGGACCUGCGUUGUAUUAGCUAGUAGGUGAGGUACGGCUCACCUAGGCGACGAUACAUAGCCGCCUAGAGGGUGAUCGGCCACACUGGGACUGAGACACGGCCCAGACUCCUACGGGAGGCAGCAGUAGGAAUCUUCGGCAAUGGGGGGACCCUGCCGAGCACGCCGCGUGAGUGAAGAAGGUUUUCGGAUCGUAAAGCUCUGUUGUUAAGGAAGAAGAGUUGAGAAUGGAAGUUCAUACUGUGACGGUACUUAACCAGA
rnacentral:rRNA from 1 species